rnacentral:rRNA from 1 species
AUUGAACGCUGGCGGCAUGCCUUACACAUGCAAGUCGAACGGCAGCGGGCCUUCGGGUGCCGGCGAGUGGCGAACGGGUGAGUAAUGCAUCGGAACGUGCCAUUGAGUGGGGGAUAACGUAGCGAAAGUUGCGCUAAUACCGCAUAUUCUGUGAGCAGGAAAGCAGGGGACCGCAAGGCCUUUGCGCUCUUUGAGCGGCCGAUGUCAGAUUAGCUAGUUGGUGAGGUAAAGGCUUACCAAGGCGACGAUCUGUAGCGGGUCUGAGAGGAUGAUCCGCCACACUGGAACUGAGACACGGUCCAGACUCCUACGGGAGGCAGGCAGUGGGGAAUUUUGGACAAUGGGGGCAACCCUGAUCCAGCCAUGCCGCGUGAGUGAAGAAGGCCUGGUG